GAUGAAGAACGUAGCGAAAUGCGAUACUUGGUGUGAAUUGCAGAAUCCCGUGAACCAUCGAGUCUUUGAACGCAAGUUGCGCCCGAAGCCAUUAGGCCGAGGGCACGCCUGCCUGGGCGUCACACGUCGUUGCCCCCCCAUCUACUCCUUCGGGAUUGCGGGGGGCGGAUGAUGGCCUCCCGUGCGCCUCGUCGCGCGGUUGGCAUAAAUGCCAAGUCCUCGGCGACGCACGCCACGACAAUCGGUGGUUGCGAAACCUCGGUUGCCCGUCGUGUGCGGUCGUCGCGCAUCGAGGGCUCGAAAAAAUUGCCGUGCUCCGGCUCGGCUUUCAACGCGACCCCAGGUCAGGCGGGGUUACCCGCUGAAUUUAAGCAUAUCAAUAAGCGGAGGA
rnacentral:misc_RNA from 1 species